AUGCGUUUUCUGAUUAUUUUCCCGAGCAAGGAGCAACAGAGGACAAGCUUUGGAAGGGCCUGAUGUUCACUGCAGUAGGUCUCGUGACAUUGGGAACCAUGGUUGCUAGGAGUUGAACCUUCGACACAAAUUGUAAAUGUUCAGGGAUUUUCGACAUCUAGUCAACCGAUUAUCUCUUACCCAUCCUCCCCAAGGAUGAGAAUACUGUCCCAAGUCUUGGAGAUGAACAAUCUUAUAUUGAAGGACACUUGAUAUUUAAUGAUUUUUGUCUAAUGGUUGUUCCUGUAAAUGAUUUAAAUCCAUAUUUUGAAAUUCUCUACUCAACAACAAUUUGGUUAAUUGUAUAGAGUUUUAAAUGGACAAGUGUUGGCAGCACUUAACAGACUCUUUUGUGGAUUAUUUAUAAACAUCUAGAAGUAUGAGAACCAAAGUUAACAUGUAAAUAAUUUUAUGUUAGUGAUUGGUUUUAGUCCAAACUAAUUUGAUGUAUGCCUGUUAAUAGACCAUUUAAUAUGAUGUGAUUGAAAGGUUUAUCUACAAAAAAAAAAUUUAGGUUUUUAUGGAUUUAAAAUUUAGAUUUAAAGAGAAUUAUAAAACGUAGAGGAGCCUCUCAGUAUAUCAUAUUAGUGGUUGAAAUGGCAUUGAGAAAUAGUGCUAUUCUUCCAACGUUGGGAUUUUAAGACUUGUAUAUUAAUGAUGUGUAUUUUAUACAAAGAGCAGCAUCUUUUACAUAAUGGCAGGUUUAAGUACCUUUGUACAAUGUGACGUUUAAAAGAGAAUGUUAUUGUUAAUUGUCAAAUGAUGGAAACCAGCAAAAUAAAAAUGAUCUCUCGAUUGUAAACAAGCUGUAACAGUAUGUAUGCAUGAGUCUCUCUUUUGUUUGUUUUGAACUAAACGAUAAACAGCUGAAAUGAUUGAGCACUUUUACAUGUUUAAGCUGUUUUUAUUUUAAUGUCUUUCAAGAAGAUUGAACCAUAAUAGCAGAAUAUGAACUUAAAUUCAAAAAAAUAUUCAGACCAGAAAUGUUGUUUUUUGUUGAUGCUGUACAAAGUUCAAAAGCAUCUUAUUUUGUGCAAUAGAUAUUUUGUAAAUCCAAAUAAAUUGUGAAAACUUUU
rnacentral:misc_RNA from 1 species